rnacentral:rRNA from 1 species
AGUGAACGCUGGCGGUAGGCCUAACACAUGCAAGUCGAACGGCAGCACAGUAAGAGCUUGCUCUUACGGGUGGCGAGUGGCGGACGGGUGAGGCAUACAUCGGAAUCUACUUUUUCGUGGGGGAUAACGUAGGGAAACUUACGCUAAUACCGCAUACGACCUACGGGUGAAAGCAGGGGAUCUUCGGACCUUGCGCGAUUGAAUGAGCCGAUGUCGGAUUAGCUAGUUGGCGGGGUAAAGGCCCACCAAGGCGACGAUCCGUAGCUGGUCUGAGAGGAUGAUCAGCCACACUGGAACUGAGACACGGUCCAGACUCCUACGGGAGGCAGCAGUGGGGAAUAUUGGACAAUGGGCGCAAGCCUGAUCCAGCCAUACCGCGUGGGUGAAGAAGGCCUUCGGGUUGUAAAGCCCUUUUGUUGGGAAAGAAAAGCAGCAUGUUAAUACCCCGCUGUUCUGACGGUACCCAAAGAAUAAGCACCGGCUAACUUCGUG